GGGGUAACAGGGGGGGCACCCUGACGGAGCACGCCGCGUGCAGGAGGACGCUUUUCGGAGUGUAAACUGCUUUUCUCGAGGAAGAAAUCGGACGGUACUCGAGGAAGAAGCCCCGGCUAACUACGUGCCAGCAGCCGCGGUAAUACGUAGGGGGCGAGCGUUGUCCGGAGUUACUGGGCGUAAAGGGCGUGUAGGCGGUCUUCCGCGUGUUUCUGGACAGCCGUCGGCUUAACUGACGGAGCGAGGAGCAGACGGGGAGACUGGAGGGCCACAGAGGAACUGGGAAGUCCGGGUGGAGCGGUGAAAUGCGUAGAGACCCGGAGGAACACCAAAGGCGAAGGCAAGGUUCUGGGUGGCACCUGACGCUGAGGCGCGAAAGCCAGGGGAGCGAACGGGAUUAGAUACCCCGGUAGUCCUGGCCGUAAACGAUGACCACUAGGUGUAGGAGGUAUCGACCCCUUCUGUGCCGGAGCAAACGUGAUAAGUGGUCCGCCUGGGGAGUACGGUCGCAAGAUU
rnacentral:rRNA from 1 species